rnacentral:rRNA from 1 species
UACGUAGGGUGCAAGCGUUGUCCGGAAUUAUUGGGCGUAAAGGGCUCGUAGGCGGUUUGUCGCGUCGGGAGUGAAAACCCAGGGCUUAACUCCGGGCCUGCAGUGGGUACGGGCUGACUAGAGUGCGGUAGGGGAGACUGGAAUUCCUGGUGUAGCGGUGAAAUGCGCAGAUAUCAGGAGGAACACCGGUGGCGAAGGCGGGUCUCUGGGCCGUAACUGACGCUGAGGAGCGAAAGCGUGGGGAGCGAACAGG